CAAGCCGCGGCCACUAUAAUAAAUAACCGCGGCUAUUCGAAUCAAUCCGCGGAUUAUUCGGGGCUUGCCAUCUAAAGUCGCGGCCAUGAUCCGGAUGAAUGGGGAAAGCCGCGGCCACUGUAAUAAUAGCAGCGGCUAUUCGAAUCAAUCCGGGGCUUGCCAUCUAAGCCGCGGCCAUAAUCAGGAUGACUGGGGGGGGCCAGAGAGGUCGAGUGCUUUUUAUAUAGUCGAAGCAGUUUGCAAGCGCUCCUAGAUCUACACUAGAUCUACACUACAGCAAGGGUUAGGACUGGCAAGGAUCCUGUGGCUCGCACACUUUUCUCCUCGUCUUUAUACAACCUCCCUGAUGAGUUCAGUAUUCAGGAAGAACUGUCAUUUGGAGCGUCUGGACCAACAUGGAGGGAGCUGGCUGAUCAUCUCAGUAAGAUCGGAGAGAGAGGAACAAGUAGCGAAGGAACUCGUGACCAGCUACAAAAUCGGUAUUAUGUGACUGAGGGUGUGAGGAAGGUCAGCUACACACCAUCAGUCAGCUCGUAAUAAAUGUUGUACAUACAACACUGUAUGCUGUUAAGGUCUACACAGGGAAACGGAGAGCUACCGUAGCCGAAGCUGACCUAUCCUUGGUUAAAACAGGAGAUCUCGUUGCUGUUUAUUGUGAAAACUAUACUAAGGAGCCUGUAAUUGGUGAAUGCAUUCGUAUUGAAGAGCGGUACAUUGAAGUUGCAUGGAUGGAGGGAUCGUAUUCAUCUGUUUGGAACCCUGGAAAAUCCGAGAUCCUAAGAACAUGAGGAAAACCGUCACUUGGACUGAUACAAUUCCAAAAACUUCUGUUUUGCUAUUUGCAUCCAUGCUAACAAGCAGAAAUUUUCUCCGCAAAUGCACCAUUGAGCGGUUGAUGAAAAUGUAUGCUAAGUUUUACCGAGUGAAGACCAUCUACAUUAUUUCACGAUAAAGACUGUAGUUUUUUGUGUUCAUAUAUACAUGUAGGAUGGUUACGUUAGAAACAUAACAUGAUAUGUUCUUUAUCUUCACAAUGCAAGUACAAUACAUGUAAAGGGUUGUGAAAUGACAAACUGUGUCAAUUACUACUCAAUAUUUUGGCUAAAGUUACAUUUCACAAAUGGAAGGUUGAACUCAUAAGCUGUUAUUACCUAUAAUAUAUAAUACCUACAUUACUCGUGUGACCUGCAUUACCUGUGUGACCUACAUUACCCGUGUUACCUAUACAUUACCCAUGUACCUACAUUACCCGUGUUACCUGCAUUAUCUAUAAUACCACAUUACCUACAUUACCCAGUGCAUUACAUCAUUACGGUUAUUAGUAGCACCAUAGUAUGAUGGAAUAGCUAUAGUAUGAGUAAUGCAAGGAAUAGCACUAUAGUAUGAUGUGCAAUGUAAUGCAAGGAAUAGUUAUACCACCCAAAAUCAUGCAGUCUUGUGAUUAUUUUGAGAUGUGUAGUCCACAUUGAUGUCGAAAUGGGCCAGAAUACAUGUACCUCAUGCUACCUGUACACUACUCUAUUGCGAAUAAUUAUUCAUAAAUGCUGACUUUCAUAUUUCAUGUUAGUCAUGAGGAUCAACCUAUUUUCAGCACAUGAAAAUGUACAAAGCAUUCUUAUAUACAGUUAAUUUCUUCAGUCAACUUUUCCUAAUUUCUUCUUCUUCAAGGGAGCUGGACAAAACCUGGAGUCGACUCGCCGAGCUUGGCCUUGAUAGCAUCUGUGUGUGUGUAAUCUAUAUGAAUCAUCAGCAAGAAGGUGGGUUGAAGAAUGAAAUAUUGCUUGAAUGUGUGAUUUGA